GGUGCGGUAGCUCAGACGGUAGAGCAUUGAUAAUUUGUGCUGAAAUUUCCUUCCAGACGGCAAGGCCAAUUAGUACAUACUCCGUCAAGUGUCGGCAGUUCGACUCUGCCCCGCACCU
rnacentral:tRNA from 1 species